rnacentral:lncRNA from 1 species
UUCUCAUUGCACCGCUUCCCACACCCUCAGCCCCGUUGCUCAGCCCUGAUCACAUUGGAUGUUGGUGAUUUGCUUGUCAUCCCCCUGUGCUGUGAUCUCGAGGGCAGUGUCUCCAUCUUGGUGUCUGACAUGUAGCACUGGGUCAAGACAGGACAAGGUGGGGGAGAUCGAGAUGCUACACGGUGAGGCAAUGGGCUUUUCCCACUCUGGACUGUCAGUGGGGAGACCGUACCUGCUCAAGGCUGAGGCAUCCUGCUCUCCUUGGAAGUGUGUCUCUUGUCCUGGCCACGGGCUGGGCCUGUGGUCCACUGGGGGUAACAUUCCCUCUGCUCUUAGGUUAAGGAGCAAGGAAGGGAGUAGUACCCCAGCUGGGCAGGACGUCGUCGUGGAGAAUGCGUGGAUCUGCAUGUCCAGAGGCUCCAUGAGAGGUGUCUUACAGCCAGGCGCGAGGCCACAAAUGCCCCGAGGUAAGGUUUUGGAGCCUUCUCUGGAAUUGUGUCUUUUUGCAUCCGUAAAGUCACACACGUGUGCCCUGGGGUCUGGAUGA